rnacentral:rRNA from 1 species
UAGGGAAUCUUCGGCAAUGGACGAAAGUCUGACCGAGCAACGCCGCGUGAGUGAUGAAGGUUUUCGGAUCGUAAAACUCUGUUGUUAGAGAAGAACAAGGACGUUAGUAACUGAACGUCCCCUGACGGUAUCUAACCAGAAAGCUACGGCUAACUACGUGCCAGCAGCCGCGGUAAUACGUAGGUGGCAAGCGCUGUCCGGAUUUAUUGGGCGUAAAGCGAGCGUAGGAGGUUUCUUAAGUCUGAUGUGAAAGCCCCCGGCUCAACCGGGGAGAGUCAGUGGAAACUGGGAUACUUGAGUGCAGAAGAGGAGAGUGGAAUUCCAUGUCUAGCAGUGAAAUACGUAGAUAUAUGGAGGAACACCAGUGGCGAAGACGGCUCUCUAGUCUGUAACUGACGCUGAGGCUCGAAAGCGUGGGGAGCGAACAGG